CACACACACGCAAUGCAACCCUUACACACAAUGCAUCCCUUGCACACACAGAAACACACAAUGCAUUCCUUACACACACUCAAUGCACCCCUUACAGACUCACACACUUCAUCCCUUACAUACACAGAAACACACCUUGCAGCCCUUACACAUACAAACACAGAUUCACAAAAUGCAUUCCUUACACACAAAUCAGGACAUUCCCUACACACUCCAUCCCCUGUGAACAAACUCAUUGGUGGAAAAUGAAGGUGGACCCUGGGACCCAGACCUUGAGCUGUGUAAAGG